AAUAUGGUUAUUUUCCAACAAUUAUUUUCCAAGUUGUUGUCCUGUUUCCACUUAGGCAGAGACAUAGAACCAUCAGGUUAGUACCUUUGACAUGCCAGAAUAUAACCUGUACAACUUGGUUCUCCAUCUGGAAAAAUCAUAUUAAUGAUGGUUGUUCACGUGUCUUAGGGUUUACACUAAGCAUUAGUACCCAUAAAAGUAAAUAUAUCACGAGAUUAAGGGGAGUCAAUACAUAGUAUAUAUACAAAUAGAAAUUUCUUUUACUUAUCUACAUAGUGUAUUUUUCCCGCGAGAGCUGAUUAAACUGUGUAUUUGAUUAUAAUUUGUAGGAAGAAUGUCUCCAACACAUAUCAAAAGAAAUCAAUCAGACACAAGCGAGGAAUCAAUUGCUGAUGAAGAUAUAAUCAGCAAAUUGCCAAGGGAUCUAAUAGAUUGCAUUCUAGGGAAACUGACU
rnacentral:lncRNA from 1 species